AUGUGUUUGAGCGGAAGGACGAGCGGUGUAGCAUAACGGGAGAGUAAUGGCGUAGUUGCAGCCCUCACGGGCCGGGCGAAAAGAAUAGCCUGGCCCGUGAGGACUACCCUGUAGAGAAACCGAGCAAACAUGUUCCUGUGAUCCAGCGACACCGUUUCUGCGCGUUGUAAUUGUAGCGAACCCUGUUGCCUUGUUUCUCACUUCACGGGAAAACUAUUUCAGUCAUCCCAAAUGUCAUCAAUAUCAUGGCCAUCAUUUACAUAUUCAAGAGGCUCAAGUACAUUCCAAAGCCCAUCUCCAGUCCUGUGCUGCCCUCAGAAAGAUGUGUUGCUCUAUUUUUGACAAAGGAUGCAUACUCAAGAGGACCAACAGAGAUGCAAGGUCUGCAGUGAUCAAGUUGAAAGAUGAAACACCCAAGGUCAAGUGCUGGGCUGAGAAAAAUGGUGAUCACUGCAGGUCACUACAUUUCCAUGAAACCAAAUAUGCCCUUCCAGCUGCCCCACCUUGUCAAAACACAGUGCUGGAGGGACCAACAUGUAGCUUCUAGUCUAUUCAUGGGUUUCAUCAGGUCCCUUUCCACAGGUGUAUUAAUCAAGCACCAUACAGUCUGCAUUGUUAAUCAAGGUGCUUGAUUCUAUACACCUGUGGAAAGGGACCUGAUGAAACCCAUGAAUACAAUUAAUUGUAACACCAGUGGGAGUUUUAUAGUAGCAGAUUGGAAUUAAGAAAUUAGCUUUCUGGUUUCUGUCUUGAAUUAGAAUCAUUUUAAUUUGCUUGUUGAUGUUAUUCCUCACAAAAUGUGGCAAUGGAAUAAGUAGAUGGUGGACAUCAAACAAGACGUAAUUCACUACCUCACUGACAAUCAUCUGUAAGGCCCCAUCCUUCUUGAAGUUGAGGUUUGCAUUGUAGAAGAGAUAGCAUGUGCUGCUUCAAAUGGUGAUGGUGGACAAUCUUAGAAUCAUGGCAUAGAUUUUCAACUUGAUCUCUGAGGGUAUUUUGUAGACACCCCAUUCAUACCGGUAAACAUUCAGUGUCCACCUCAUGCAUGCAUCAGAAAGUUAUUCAGGCCAAGAUGGUAUUUUCUUCAUUUGUUCAUAGAGGUAUAUUAUCCAUAUCCUGGAUAAAUCCACAUAAUUCAGUUUGAUUCAAAAUGACAUAGGAAACCGAGUCGAAGAUUGUAUGGUUAAGGUAAAAUAGUGGGUGAUUAAGUUUGUGCAAAUGUUAUACUUGUUAACAAUGAUUUUGAGAUAGAACUAGUCUAAAGUCCAAGGUCCAUAUGGUCCACCCUGGAUACGGGAUUUGUGCAAUAUGUUUUCCCUCCCUCCCAUGUACCUGUAAUGGUUUUGAUAUAAAUAUGUAUAUUGUAAACAA